rnacentral:rRNA from 1 species
CCUACGGGGGGCUGCAGUGGGGAAUAUUGCACAAUGGGCGCAAGCCUGAUGCAGCCAUGCCGCGUGUGUGAAGAAGGCCUUCGGGUUGUAAAGCACUUUCAGCGGGGAGGAAGGCGGUGAGGUUAAUAACCUCAUCGAUUGACGUUACCCGCAGAAGAAGCACCGGCUAACUCCGUGCCAGCGGCCGCGGUAAUACGGAGGGUGCAAGCGUUAAUCGGAAUUACUGGGCGUAAAGCGCACGCAGGUGGUCUGUCAAGUCGGAUGUGAAAUCCCCGGGCUCAACCUGGGAACUGCAUUCGAAACUGGGAGGCUAGAGGCUUGUAGAGGGGGGGUAGAAUUCCAGGUGUAGCGGUGAAAUGCGUAGAGAUCUGGAGGAAUACCGGUGGCGAAGGCGGCCCCCUGGACAAAGACUGACGCUCAGGUGCGAAAGCGUGGGGAGCAAACAGGAUUAGAUACCCCUGUAGUC